rnacentral:rRNA from 1 species
AUACGUAGGGGGCAAGCGUUAUCCGGAUUUACUGGGUGUAAAGGGAGCGUAGACGGCGAUGCAAGUCUGAGGUGAAAGCCCGGGGCUCAACCCCGCGGACUGCUUUGGAAACUGUGUUGCUGGAGUGCAGGAGAGGUGAGUGGAAUUCCUAGUGUAGCGGUGAAAUGCGUAGAUAUUAGGAGGAACACCAGUGGCGAAGGCGGCUCACUGGACUGUAACUGACGUUGAGGCUCGAAAGCGUGGGGAGCAAACAGGAUUAGAUACUCUGGUAGUCCACGUCGUAAACGAUGAAUACUAGGUGUUGGGUAGCAAAGCUAUUCGGUGCCGCAGCAAACGCAAUAAGUAUUCCACCUGGGGAGUACGUCCGCAAGAAUGAAACUCAAAGGAAUUGACGGGG